GGGGCUGACCGGUUUUGACAGCAAGGAGAUGGUUCUGUAAGCAUGCAGGCUCACGCAUCAACAGCCUUGAAAAUGGAUGCACAACAAUAACAGGCGAAACUGAUUACGCUCUUGCUGCCUAACCGAAGCACAGUAGGUUGGCUUAAUCCGCGCACCAGGUGUGCGGACAAGACAUCUCCCGCCGACCCCGCCCAUCGGUCAGCGAUACGGAGGUGCUCGUGAGAAUGGGAUAGCCGGCGGAUUGUCCCGCUCCGCCGGUGAAGAUUCAGGGACUAAGGUCUGCGUGGGGUGUCUGUAUCCGGCGGAGACACAAAAAACAACUACAGACUAAGCAUGUAGAAAGCGGCGCUGUUACUUGUUUGGACGGCGGUUCGACUCCGCCCAGCUCCACUA
rnacentral:tmRNA from 1 species